UACGAAGGGGGCUAGCGUUGCUCGGAAUUACUGGGCGUAAAGCGCACGUAGGCGGAUUGCUACGUCAGGGGUGAAAUCCUGGAGCUCAACUCCAGAACUGCCUUUGAUACUGGCGAUCUCGAGUCCGGGAGAGGUGAGUGGAACUGCGAGUGUAGAGGUGAAAUUCGUAGAUAUUCGCAAGAACACCAGUGGCGAAGGCGGCUCACUGGCCCGGUACUGACGCUGAGGUGCGAAAGCGUGGGGAGCAAACAGG
rnacentral:rRNA from 1 species